CUCCCCCAUCCCCCGGUAACGGUCGCUGGUGAGUUUAAAUGAGCCGGGGCUGGCCGGGCCGGAGCCGCUACGGGGGGCGGCCUGAGGCACUGCAGAAAGUGGGCCUGAGCCUCAAGGAUGACGGUCCUGCAGGAACCCGUCCAGGCUGCUAUAUGGCAAGCACUAAACCAUUAUGCUUACCGAGAUGCAGUUUUCCUUGCAGAGCGACUGUAUGCAGAAGGUUUGUAAAUUUUCAUUUAUAUAGAACUAUAAAUAAAAUGCAUGAAAUUCCA